AUCAAUGGUGGGCUGGAUGGGGCAGCCGUCAGGCUGGCCGGAUGACAAUCCCGGUACUGCGAACCCUGUUCAGUUCACCACCAGU
rnacentral:antisense_RNA from 16 species